AGACAAUGAAGAGUUUGAUCCUGGCUCAGGAUGAACGCUAGCGGCAGGCCUAACACAUGCAAGUCGAGGGGUAGGGGGUGCUUGCACCCCUGAGACCGGCGCACGGGUGCGGAACGCGUAUGGAACCUGCCCCUGUCAGGGGAAUAGCCCAGGGAAACUUGGAUUAAUGCCCCAUGGUAUCAUUACAUCGCAUGAUGUUAUGAUUAAAGAUUUAUCGGACAGGGAUGGCCAUGC
rnacentral:rRNA from 1 species